AGCUUAGAGGUCGCCGAUUCGA
rnacentral:siRNA from 1 species